UUUUUCUUGGUGCCAAAGU
rnacentral:piRNA from 1 species